rnacentral:rRNA from 1 species
CCCUUAGAUGUUCUGGGCUGCACGCGCGCUACACUGAUGCACUCAACGAGUUUACGACCUUGUCCGAGAGGAUUGGGUAAUCUUUUUAAAAUGCAUCGUGAUGGGGAUAGAUUAUUGCAAUUAUUAGUCUUGAACGAGGAAUUCCUAGUAAGCACAAGUCAUCAGCUUGUGUUGAUUACGUCCCUGCCCUUUGUACACACCGCCCGUCGCUCCUACCGAUUGAAUGUUCCGGUGAGCUCUUCGGACUGCGCGGUCUGCAGUUUCUGCGUUCCGUGCGGAAAGUUGCGCAAACCUUAACAUUUAGAGGAAGGAGAAGUCGUAACA